rnacentral:rRNA from 1 species
GACGAACCGUGGCGAACGUUGUUCGGAAUUACUGGGCGUAAAGGGCGCGUAGGCGGCCUUGUUAAGUCGAACGUGAAAUCCCUGGGCUCAACCCAGGAACUGCGUCCGAUACUGGCAGGCUUGAAUUCGGGAGAGGGAAUGCGGAAUUCCAGGUGUAGCGGUGAAAUGCAUAGAUAUGACCCGGAACACCGAUUGCGAAGGCAGCCCACUAAG